rnacentral:lncRNA from 1 species
UUAGGCAAAUCCCACAUCGGUUAAGGACGGGGUAAACGAUCUAUACAUAAGAGGGGUAGCUUCUAACUUGGUUAGCGCGCUUUUGGGCGGGUUGCAAAGCCUGCCUGAGGGACAAAUCCGUGAGGGUUGCAAAGCCUAAAGCGGACAAUACUGACCAGGUCAGGGCUAUGACAAUUUGACUAUUCCAAAGAAUUAAAUAUGAUUGUUAGCCAAAGUGAAACUCAACCAUUCAUCCUUAAAACAGGGGCCUCAAUAUGCUAUGUAUACUUUUCCAGCUGGUAGGAGAUUUUCAUUUUGCUGCUUAUAGAUAUCAAUACCAGACAUGACUUUUGUAUAUUUUUAUUUAAAUGCUGAAAUUGUUAUUUAUUAGUUCCUAGAUGAUCCAUAUUCAUGUUCUAUUCUGUUGUUGUAGCAUUAUUGUUAAAUUGCUAGGUCCGCGCUCAUGUUCUACUCUGUUGUAGUAGCACUAAUGUUAAAUUGCUA